CGAAAGCGUGGGGAGCGAACAGGAUUAGAUACCCUGGUAGUCCACGCUGUAAACGAUGUCAACUAGCCGUUGGGACUCUUGAAGUCUUAGUGGCGCAGCUAACGCACUAAGUUGACCGCCUGGGGAGUACGGCCGCAAGGUUAAAACUCAAAGAAAUUGACGGGGGCCCGCACAAGCGGUGGAGCAUGUGGUUUAAUUCGACGCAACGCGAAGAACCUUACCUGGCCUUGACAUGCAGAGAACUUUCCAGAGAUGGAUUGGUGCCUUCGGGAACUCUGACACAGGUGCUGCAUGGCCGUCGUCAGCUCGUGUCGUGAGAUGUUGGGUUAAGU
rnacentral:rRNA from 1 species